rnacentral:rRNA from 1 species
UACGGAGGAUGCGAGCGUUAUCCGGAUUUAUUGGGUUUAAAGGGUGCGUAGGCGGGAUGCCAAGUCAGCGGUAAAAAUGCGGUGCUCAACGCCGUCGAGCCGUUGAAACUGGCGUUCUUGAGUGGGCGAGAAGUAUGCGGAAUGCGUGGUGUAGCGGUGAAAUGCAUAGAUAUCACGCAGAACUCCGAUUGCGAAGGCAGCAUACCGGCGCCCUACUGACGCUGAGGCACGUAAGCGUGGGUAUCGAACAGG